rnacentral:rRNA from 2 species
GAUAUCUGACAAACCGUUGCGGCCCUUGCUCAUCUUGGGCGAUGUGUGUCGUGUCGUGUUUGUCAUCCUUCCAGAGAGCUGCGUCUACCAUUUACUUGGCCGGACGUACGCGAUCUGGAUCGAUUACUUUGAAAAAAUUAGAGUGUUUAAAGCAGGCUUAUGCUGUGAAUACAUUAGCAUGGAAUAAUAAUUUAGGACUUCGGUCCUAUUUUGUUGGUUUCUAGGACAGAAGUAAUGAUUGAUAGGGACAGUUGGGGGUGCUAGUAUUCCGCGGCCAGAGGUGAAAUUCUUGGAUUCGCGGAAGACUAACUACUGCGAAAGCAUU